rnacentral:rRNA from 1 species
GAUGAACGCUGGCGGCGUGCCUAAUACAUGCAAGUCGAGCGAACGGACGAGAAGCUUGCUUCUCUGAUGUUAGCGGCGGACGGGUGAGUAACACGUGGAUAACCUACCUAUAAGACUGGGAUAACUUCGGGAAACCGGAGCUAAUACCGGAUAAUAUUUUGAACCGCAUGGUUCAAAAGUGAAAGACGGUCUUGCUGUCACUUAUAGAUGGAUCCGCGCUGCAUUAGCUAGUUGGUAAGGUAACGGCUUACCAAGGCAACGAUGCAUAGCCGACCUGAGAGGGUGAUCGGCCACACUGGAACUGAGACACGGUCCAGACUCCUACGGGAGGCAGCAGUAGGGAAUCUUCCGCAAUGGGCGAAAGCCUGACGGAGCAACGCCGCGUGAGUGAUGAAGGUCUUCGGAUCGUAAAACUCUGUUAUUAGGGAAGAACAUAUGUGUAAGUAACUGUGCACAUCUUGACGGUACCUAAUCAGAAAGCCACGGCUAACUACGUGCCAGCAGCCGCGGUAAUACGUAGGUGGCAAGCGUUAUCCGGAAUUAUUGGGCGUAAAGCGCGCGUAGGCGGUUUUUUAAGUCUGAUGUGAAAGCCCGCGGCUCAACCGUGGAGGGUCAUUGGAAACUGGAAAACUUGAGUGCAGAAGAGGAAAGUGGAAUUCCAUGUGUAGCGGUGAAAUGCGCAGAGAUAUGGAGGAACACCAGUGGCGAAGGCGACUUUCUGGUCUGUAACUGACGCUGAUGUGCGAAAGCGUGGGGAUCAAACAGGAUUAGAUACCCUGGUAGUCCACGCCGUAAACGAUGAGUGCUAAGUGUUAGGGGGGUUCCGCCCCUUAGUGCUGCAGCUAACGCAUUAAGCACUCCGCCUGGGGAGUACGACCGCAAGGUUGAAACUCAAAGGAAUUGACGGGGACCCGCACAAGCGGUGGAGCAUGUGGUUUAAUUCGAAGCAACGCGAAGAACCUUACCAAAUCUUGACAUCCUUUGACAACUCUAGAGAUAGAGCUUUCCCCUUCGGGGGACAAAGUGACAGGUGGUGCAUGGUUGUCGUCAGCUCGUGUCGUGAGAUGUUGGGUUAAGUCCCGCAACGAGCGCAACCCUUAAGCUUAGUUGCCAUCAUUAAGUUGGGCACUCUAAGUUGACUGCCGGUGACAAACCGGAGGAAGGUGGGGAUGACGUCAAAUCAUCAUGCCCCUUAUGAUUUGGGCUACACACGUGCUACAAUGGACAAUACAAAGGGCAGCGAAACCGCGAGGUCAAGCAAAUCCCAUAAAGUUGUUCUCAGUUCGGAUUGUAGUCUGCAACUCGACUACAUGAAGCUGGAAUCGCUAGUAAUCGUAGAUCAGCAUGCUACGGUGAAUACGUUCCCGGGUCU